AACCUUUCACACCAUCAUCAUCAGCUGCAGUGAUGUUCUCUUAUUCUCGUUCUCUCCUUCUGGUUCUACGGAUCUUUCAGUGCUAUACAAUGAGCAAAUGUGAAGUCAUGACCAGCUUCUGUUUAAGUAGAGAUGUACAUUACCAGCCAGUGAAAGUUCCAACUACACCUCCAGUGGAAUACACAAAGCAACAACACCACACAACAACGUCACAAGGAGGUUCACGUCCAAACCCAGAUGAAUGUUGUGUGAGUUUCUCUUUCACACUGCCUUCUAGCAAACCCUCAGCAAGACAUGAAGACACCAGAGUGACCUGUCAAG